rnacentral:rRNA from 1 species
AUACGAAGGGGGCUAGCGUUGUUCGGAAUUACUGGGCGUAAAGCGCGCGUAGGCGGAUUGGUCAGUUAGGGGUGAAAUCCCAGGGCUUAACCCUGGAACUGCCUCUAAUACUGCCAGUCUUGAGUUCGGGAGAGGUGAGUGGAAUUCCUAGUGUAGAGGUGAAAUUCGUAGAUAUUAGGAAGAACACCAGUGGCGAAGGCGGCUCACUGGCCCGAUACUGACGCUGAGGCGCGAAAGCGUGGGGAGCAAACAGGAUUAGAAACCCUAGUAAUCC